ensembl:lncRNA
GAUGUCAAGAGCCCUGGAUUAAUAAGACCUAGAAACACUUCACAAUCACAAAGAUUACUUUGACCAUUGCCCACACUUGCCAAAAAAUGUCAAGUCCGCUUGGUUAGCUGAGUGGCUCUGUGAAUGAGGCCAAGGUCAUAAGUUCGAAGGAGGGGGGACCUUCACGUGGCAAGGUUGACCAGGAAGCGCUGCCACAUUAUCUAAAGCCCGCUACUUCCCAUCCACAGACAUUUGCUAAUUGGGCCGGGUCCUCUUCGCGGGCAGAGGGCCGGGAAGCCCCCACCUCCGGCCGCCCGCGUGUCCUCCCCUCCUCCGUCGCGCGGGCCCGGCGAGGGUCAGCCUGGCACAGCGGCUCCAAGUACCACACCGCCGGACCGAACCAGGAGCCAUAUUUAGCUGUAUUUUUUGGUCAAUAAAACAAACUUCCGUCUUCUAAAGAAAAACGGUCCCAACUCAAUGUCAAACUAGGACGGAAACUCGAGGCUCGCCGCAGCUGCCAACCAGAGACGCCGCGUGUCCAGCAGCCCCCGAGUCCCCGACCCGGACCCCGCGCCUCGCGCGCCCGCGCCCCGGCCACGGCCGCGCCGGCCACAAAGGGACGGGAGACGCGGACGCGGCCGGGCCUCUCCGCCUCCUCCCGCCCCGAGCCAGCGGCCGCGGCUCCGGGACGGCCCGGGCGCGAGCGGACACUCACCUCGCUCCGCGCGCGGCGGCGGCGGCAGCGGGCGCUCCUCGAGGCCGGCCCCGGCGGUCGCGGCGCGGUCCCGCGGGCCGCAGCGCGGGCGCUACUCUCGGGCCGCCGUCCGCCGCGCCGCCUUCUCGGCCACUGCCGGCGGCUCCCCCGGCGAGCGGGCGGGCCCGGCGCGGGCCCCGCCUCCGCCGCGCCCGCCC